CAUUGUCUUUUACAAAGCUCUUGAAUUCUCGAGAUUAGGUCCCUGUACAAUUUCCCAUAAGACCUGUCUAAGAUGGCUUCCAUAGCUUGUGCACAGUCUGUUUCAACCAUAAUAUUAUCCCAACUAUUAUCCCAUGCCAAACGGAGUCUGUCAUAUAUAGCCUAAAGUUCAGUCUGUACAAAUUGCAUUUGCCAAUGUUUCUCCUAACUCUUCCACGCCAUGAACCCAAAUCAUCUCUAGCCAUAGCAGCUAUUGACGCUUCCUUCAAAACAGGAUCCCUUGCUUCAUCUGUGUUUAACUUUAUGAAUCUCAGUGGAGGAGGAUUCCAAACUUGAUCUCGUCUUUGCUUCAUAAUACUGCCCACAGAUAAUACAUGUUGAAAUUUGAUUGAGCUCGCUCAACACCACGCCGAAUGAAGAGUGUGAUAGUUAUUUGAGCCUACCCUUUGAAACACCCAUAAGUUCCUCUGCUUCCAUAGAUUUCAAGAAAUAAUUCCAAAGAAAGGCUGCCAUUCAUCUUCUGUAAGAACCAACUUAUACUCAUUAUUUAAAUUCAAAGAGAUCCACUCCAUUAUAGGAACAAAAAAAAUUCCCCCCAAAUCCUUGAAAGGACAACCUGCCUCCACACUUCUUGCGCG
rnacentral:lncRNA from 1 species